UCCAGACUCCUACGGGAGGCAGCAGUGAGGAAUAUUGGUCAAUGGCCGGAAGGCUGAACCAGCCAAGCCGCGUGAAGGACGAAGGUGCCAAGCAUUGUAAACUUCUUUUGUCAAGGGACAAAAUCAGGCUCGAGAGCCUGACCGAGGGUACUUGAAGAAAAAGCAUCGGCUAACUCCGUGCCAGCAGCCGCGGUAAUACGGAGGAUGCGAGCGUUAUCCGGAUUUAUUGGGUUUAAAGGGUGCGCAGGCGGAGGUGCAAGUCAGCGGUCAAAUUGCGGGGCUCAACCCCGUACUGCCGUUGAAACUGCAUCCCUUGAGUGCGCGAGAAGUAUGCGGAAUGCGUGGUGUAGCGGUGAAAUACAUAGAUAUCACGCAGAACUCCGAUUGCGAAGGCAGCCUACUAAACUGCCACUGACAUUGAUGCUCGAAAGUGUGGGUAUCAAACAGGAUUAGAUACCCGGGUAUU
rnacentral:rRNA from 1 species